rnacentral:lncRNA from 1 species
UAGGGUAUGAUUUAGGAUUUAGAGUUUACAUUAGGGUUCGAUUUAGAGUUUAAAGUUUGAUUAGGGUUUGGUUUAGGAUUUAGGAUAUAGUUAGGAUUUAGUUUAGAAUUUAGGAUUUAGUUAGGAUUUUAUUUAGGAUUUAGGAUUUGUUUAGGGUUUGAUUUAGGAUUUAGGAUUUUAUUAGGAUUUAAGAUUCAAUUAGUUUUGGCCUAAAGUUUGAAUGAAGUUCAAUAGGAUUUUAACUAGAAUUAAAUUAAGAUUGAAUUGAGAUGUAUUUGAGUGAUAUUUGUGAUCCUUCUAAUAUUUCUUUAAGAAUUUUUAUUGUUUGUUUGAAAUUUUUUUGAGAUUUUUUUGAAUUUGAUUAAGCUUGCUUAGCAUUAUUAUGGUCUAAUUAGAGCAUUGUUAGUAUUCUAUUAGAAUUAAGAUUUUUGUUAUUAUAAUUUCUAUUCUUCCUUCCAUAGCCAGGUACCCAGAGCAUUCUCAAAUAAGAC